rnacentral:rRNA from 1 species
CCUACGGGAGGCAGCAGUGGGGAAUUGUUCGCAAUGGGCGAAAGCCUGACGACGCAACGCCGCGUGGAGGAUGAAGACCUUCGGGUCGUAAACUCCUUUCGAUCGAGACGAAUGGCCUCCGGGUAAAUACUCCGGAGGAGUGACGGUACCGAGAGAAGAAGCCCCGGCUAACUCCGUGCCAGCAGCCGCGGUAAUACGGGGGGGGUCAAGCGUUGUUCGGAAUUACUGGGCGUAAAGGGCUCGUAGGCGGCCAACUAAGUCAGACGUGAAAUCCCUCGGCUUAACCGGGGAACUGCGUCUGAUACUGGAUGGCUUGAGUUCGGGAGAGGGAUGCGGAAUUCCAGGUGUAGCGGUGAAAUGCGUAGAUAUCUGGAGGAACACCGGUGGCGAAGGCGGCAUCCUGGACCGACACUGACGCUGAGGAGCGAAAGCCAGGGGAGCAAACGGGAUUAGAUACCCCGGGUAGUCCUGGCCCUAAACGAUGAAUGCUUGGUGUGGCGGGUAUCGAUCCCUGCCGUGCCGAAGCUAACGCAUUAAGCAUUCCGCCUGGGGAGUACGGUCGCAAGGCUGAAACUCAAGGAAUUGACGGCUGNGAGNGCGAGCGACGACGAGGGAGAGG